rnacentral:pre_miRNA from 1 species
UUUCUACUCCCUUCAUCUAACAAAAGAUGUCUCAAGUUGGUCAAAAUUUGGAUGUAUCGAGACAUGACUUAGUGUGUGGAUGCAUUCAAAUUUAAUCAAAGUUGAGACAUUCUUUGUUGGACGGAGGAAGAAUGUA